rnacentral:lncRNA from 1 species
AUUCAUCUUCAUAGGGCCCCAUCCCCUAGUUGACAUUUUAGGAAAUAAACCUUCCUAUGUUCCUUCUUCAUGUCUUCACAGGGUAUGACAAUCCCUAGUCAUAUUUUUAGGAGCGAAAAUCCUAAUUCUUUUUCAUGCAUUCAUUAGGCAUAACUUCCUUUGGUCAUAUUAUUAAGAAUAGGGUUCUUAUUUUAUCGCACUCCUAGCCUAAAUUUCUAUCCAUUCGUUUAUUU